rnacentral:lncRNA from 1 species
UCAAUUUUUUAAAAAAAAAUAUAAUAAAAAUUUGAUUUUAUAUAAACGAAAAUGAGCUUUGGCUCCUAUUUGACAACUAUUCUUCGAAAACUCAUAUUUUUUAUAUUCAUUUAAUCAUAUAUUUUUCAAAAAUUUAUUCUUCUCAAAAAAAUGACCGUCAAACAUGGAUUUAAUUUUACGUACAUCUAUGUUUCAAUUACUUUUUCAAAUUUAUCUUUCCUGCGUGGGACCCAAUUCCUACUUGCAUGUUUAUAGGCACAUCAUAGCUGACUUUUUCUUAUUGUUCAUCACUUUCGAAAUCCAACAUAAUGAUUCUAACAGUAAAAAAUCAUUAAUUUGGCGACAUUGAUUUAGGAUUACUUAUGUAUAAGAGCCUUUGUUGAAAAUUACUUUACUUUUUAUUUAAAACCAAU